CCUCUCUACCUGUUCCUCCUCUGUAGGCAGCAGAACCAGAUGAUAAUGUGGUCUACAGCUCACUAGCUCUACAGGUGACCACACAGCAGAGGGCAGCAGCAGCACAGCAGUGACUGACUGAGUGACCUUGGUGGAGUCCUUAUCCUGGAAGGACAGCCCACUCCCCUCUCCUGGGUCUCAACAUCUAUCUGCCUCCAAUAUGCUUCUGUCAUACCUCUUAACCCACCCCAGAAAGACCCCUCUAUCCUUUUGUGUCCAUAAACUACUGAAGACAGUC